rnacentral:rRNA from 1 species
UACGGGGGAGCAAGCGUUGUUCGGAUUUACUGGGCGUAAAGGGCGCGGUAGGCGGUCGUGACAAGUCACUUGUGAAAUCUCCGGGCUUAACUCGGAACGGUCAAGUGAUACUGUCGGACUAGAGUACAGAAGGGGCAACGUGGAAUUCUCGGUGUAGCGGUGAAAUGCGUAGAGUAUCGAGAGGAACACCUGCGGCGAAGGCGG